UCCCCCUCGACCCCCAUUCACGCAUUCAUUCAUGAUUCAUCUCACAGUGAGUGAAUCAGUGAACCCUAGCCGCCGUGAACCCUAGCCGCCCAGUCGCCCUCCUUCGUCGCCGCGCUCUCGGGUCGUCAGCCACCGCCGUCGCCUGGUCCUCAGCCCCAGUAACCCUCCAUCGUCGCCUGGUUCCCUGCCCAGUAGCCCUCCAUCUCCAUCGUCUUCAUCUUCUGAACACCAGCAGGCAGUAGCUCGCAUCGUCUUCAUCGUCGCGCGGUCCUCAACAGUCAACACCAGUAGCCCUCCAUCGACGCCAGCUGAAAAAAUUGGAGGGGCUGGAUGAGGAGACAUUGAUGCCUCAGAAGACAUCUUGAGGUUUUGAUGAUUGAUAACUCUUUAGGUUGACAUUUAAUAUUUGAUAUUUCUUUAUACAAUUUAACUUGAGUUUGUAUAUUAAUAAGAUUAUAUGAAUUUGAUUGAUGACAUUAAAUGUAGUUUUUUAAAUUUGAAAACUAUUUUAAUAUUUAUAUUAUACUAUAAUAUUAUACUAUAAUUAUAUUUUAGGAUGUUUAUUUAUAAUUUAUUUAUUAUUUUAUUUUAAAACAGUUUUUCCGGUUGAACCACUGGUUAGACUGGUUGGACUAGUAAACCAGUGAACCAGUAGCUAGAGCAGUUUGAUGACCGGUCCGGUUUUCCGAACCUUGAGAAAAAUAAAUGAAUUAGAGUUAAUUCACAUAAAAAAAUAAUGCUAUGAAUUUAAUUAUAUAAUAUUAGCAUAUAUCAACGAAGUUCUAAAUAACUAAAUAAUUUAAUGUGCAUAAUAUUUUUUUCUAAAUAUAAAUUAUUUUAUUCCAUUAAAGCAAUUGAAUAUAAGUGAUCCAAAAGAAAAUAAUAACAAGGUUAAAAUGGAAAAUUUUAUAAGAUGAUAUUUUCUAAUAUAACUAUAAAAUAGAUAGCUUACCCGUCGUCAAAGGAUUAAUCGAACUUUUUCUUGGAAUGCAUACUUGGCGAAACGAGCUAUUUCUAUGGGUGACAACCACUUCUUCUCGAAGACCAGCAUGUUUGGAGCUAUCCAUAGCUCCAAACUAGGUGUGCUGCUCUAUUCCUGUCUCCGUUUCUGUGUUCUUCUUAGAUAUUAUUCUACCAUUUCUAAAUUUCCUCAAAAGCGUCUCUCAUUGGAAGUUCAGCUACAUCUCCCACUAGAAAUUCAGCUGAUCUUCAUGCACCAACAAUUGAUUCAGGACAUGAGACCAACAAGUGAGUAACUAAUUCUUCCGAUUUUAUUUUGCAUGAUUUUUCAUAGAAAAUUUUUAUUCUUAAACUCUAAAUAAAUAAAUAAUUUAAUGUUCUUAAAUUGCUUUAUUUUUUUAAGGAUAGGUUAUUUUAUUCAAUUAAUGCAAUUGAAUAUAAAUGAUCUAAACGAGAACAAGAAGAAGAUCAAAAUGAAAAUUUUUACAAGACGAUAUUUUUUAACAAUUACAAAACACAUGAGUUUAUCCAUCAUCAAAAUACAGAUACUAAUCAGUCUUUUUCUUCAAAUGCAUUAAUGGCGAAACGAGCUCAUUUCCAUGGGUGACAGUCAAACGAGCUACUUCCAUAGGUGCAGCUUCUUCUCGAAGACUACUGACGUCUCAGUUACCAAAUUAAAGAGUACAAAGGCAUUUGUCCAUACUGUUCUGGUGGUAAUUGCUCUAAUGGGAGAUAGAAGAACUGAUAAGCCAAUGAAUAUGCCGAAAAGAUUGAGUACUGCGAGUUCUACUCUCUUGAUCUGGCUUGUCGGACGCUGGUAAUCUGGGAAGGAAUUUCAAGUGGAAACUUGCCAACAAAA